UUAAAGGUUGGUAGGGGAACCUAUCAGUCUUGAAGCUAACACGAUAAGUAAUUCSGCCUGGAAGUACGGCCGCAAGGUUGAAACUCAAAUGAAUUGACGGGGGGCCCGCACAAGCGGUGGAGCAUGWGGCUUAAUUCGAUGCAACGCGAAGAACCUUACCUACCCUUGACAUCCUGCGAAUCCCGAUGAGAGUUGGGAGUGCCGAAAGGAGCGCAGAGACAGGUGCUGCAUGGCUGUSGUCAGCUCGUGUUGUGAGAUGUUGGGUUAAGUCCCGUAACGAGCGCAACCCUUGUCCUUAGUUGCCAUCAUUUAGUUGGGGACUCUAAGGAGACUGCCGGUGAUGAACCGGAGGAAGGCGGGGACGACGUCAAGUCAUCAUGGCCUUUAUGGGUAGGGSUACACACGUGCUACAAUGGGGCGUACAGAGAGUCGCGAACCCGCGAGGGGGAGCCAAUCUCGUAAAGCGUCUYGUAGUCCGGAUUGGGGUCUGCAACUCGACUCCAUGAAGUUGGAAUCGCUAGUAAUCGCGAAUCAGCAUUGUCGCGGUGAAUACGUUCCCGGGCCUUGUACACACCGCCCGUCACGUCAUGGGAGUGGAUGGUACCAGAAGCGGGUAGCUGAACCGAAAGGAAGGCGCUUGCCACGGUAUGAUUCAUGA
rnacentral:rRNA from 1 species